rnacentral:misc_RNA from 1 species
GAUGAAGAACGUAGCGAAAUGCGAUAAGUAAUGUGAAUUGCAGAAUUCAGUGAAUCAUCGAAUCUUUGAACGCACAUUGCGCCCGCCAGUAUUCUGGCGGGCAUGCCUGUUCGUGCGUCAUUACAACCCUCAGGCCCCCGGGCCUGGCGUUGGGGAUCGGCGGAAGCCCCCUGCGGGCACAACGCCGUCCCCCAAAUACAGUGGCGGUCCCGCCGCAGCUUCCAUUGCGUAGUAGCUAACACCUCGCAACUGGAGAGCGGCGCGGCCACGCCGUAAAACACCCAACUUCUGAAUGUUGACCUCGAAUCAGGUAGGAAUACCCGCUGAACUUAAGCAUAUCAAUAAGCGGAGGA